UGGCGGCAUGCCUUACACAUGCAAGUCGAACGGCAGCACGGGAGCAAUCCUGGUGGCGAGUGGCGAACGGGUAAGUAAUAUAUCGGAACGUGCCCAGUCGUGGGGGAUAACGCAGCGAAAGCUGUGCUAAUACCGCAUACGAUCCAUGGAUGAAAGCGGGGGAUCGCAAGACCUCGCGCGAUUGGAGCGGCCGAUAUCAGAUUAGCUAGUUGGUGAGGUAAAGGCUCACCAAGGCGACGAUCUGUAGCUGGUCUGAGAGGACGACCAGCCACACUGGAACUGAGACACGGUCCAGACUCCUACGGGAGGCAGCAGUGGGGAAUUUUGGACAAUGGGCGCAAGCCUGAUCCAGCAAUGCCGCGUGCAGGAUGAAGGCCUUCGGGUUGUAAACUGCUUUUGUACGGAGCGAAAAGGCUUCUCCUAAUACGAGGGGCUCAUGACGGUACCGUAAGAAUAAGCACCGGCUAACUACGUGCCAGCAGCCGCGGUAAUACGUAGGGUGCGAGCGUUAAUCGGAAUUACUGGGCGUAAAGCGUGCGCAGGCGGUUUUGUAAGACAGAUGUGAAAUCCCCGGGCUCAACCUGGGACCUGCAUCUGUGACUGCAAGGCUAGAGUACGGUAGAGGGGGAUGGAAUUCCGCGUGUAGCAGUGAAAUGCGUAGAUAUGCGGAGGAACACCGAUGGCGAAGGCAAUCCCCUGGACCUGUACUGACGCUCAUGCACGAAAGCGUGGGGAGCAAACAGGAUUAGAUACCCUGGUAGUCCACGCCCUAAACGAUGUCAACUGGCUGUUGGGUCUCUACUGACUCAGUAACGGAACUAACGCGUGAAGUUGACCGCCUGGGGAGUACGGCCGCAAGGUUGAAACUCA
rnacentral:rRNA from 1 species